rnacentral:rRNA from 1 species
CCUACGGGUGGCUGCAGUGAGGAAUAUUGGUCAAUGGACGAGAGUCUGAACCAGCCAAGUAGCGUGAAGGAUGAAUGCACUAUGGGUUGUAAACUUCUUUUAUCUGGGAAUAAAGUGUUCCACGUGUGGGAGUUUGUGUGUACCAUAUGAAUAAGGAUCGGCUAACUCCGUGCCAGCAGCCGCGGUAAUACGGAGGAUUCGAGCGUUAUCCGGAUUUAUUGGGUUUAAAGGGUGCGUAGGUGGAUUGUUAAGUCAGUGGUGAAAGUUUGGGGCUCAACCGUAAAAUUGCAGUUGAAACUGGCAGUCUUGAGUACAGGAGAGGUGGGCGGAAUGCGUGGUGUAGCGGUGAAAUGCUUAGAUAUCACGAAGAACUCCGAUUGCGAAGGCAGUUCACUGGACUGCAACUGACGCUGAGGCUCGAAAGUGUGGGUAUCAAACAGGAUUAGAUACCCUGGUAGUC